rnacentral:ncRNA from 1 species
AAAGUGUCUAUGGGUUGGUAUAUGGUGAUUAAAGUUUUAUUUUUGUUUAAUAAUUAAAUUAAAUUUGGUGGUUAUAUGUAAAUUUUUGUAAAAAUAAAAAUUUUAUUUAAAUAAUAAAAUGAAGAUUUUAUUCGCAGUAGCUAAUUUUAAUAAUUAAAGAAAUUUAGAAUUAGGAAAAGUUUUUAGUAUUGACUAAAUUUGUGCCAGCAGUUGCGGUUAUACAAAUAAUAUAAUUUAAUUUUUUUUUUAGUAUUAAUAUGUUUUUAAAUUAUAUAAUUUUAAAGUAAAAUUUGUUAGGUGAAAUUUUAAAUUUUACAAUAAAUUAAUAUUUGGUGAUUAAUUGAUAAAUUUAAUGAUAAACUAGGAUUAGAUACUCUAUUAUUAUAAGUGUAAAUUUAUGCUAGAUUAGUAAAAGUUAUGUUCUCUAAAAUUAAUGAUUUUGGCGGUUUUUUAGUCUAUUCAGAGGAAUCUGUUCUGUAAUCGAUAGUCCACGAUUUAAUUAUCCUUUGUUAAAAGUUUGUAUAUCGUCGUAAUUAGAGUAUUUUAUAAGAAUUUAAAUAUUCAAUAUUUAUUUGUUAAUAUAAAUCAGAUCAAGGUAUAGCUUAUAUAAAGGUAGAAAUGGGUUACAUUUAUUUUAAUAUGGGAUUAUUUUAUGAAAAAUAGUAUGAAUUUGGAUUUGAAAGUAAUUUUAAUUAAAUUAUUAAUUUGAUUUUAGCUCUAAAAUAUGCACAUAUCGCCCGUCGCUUUCAUUUUAAGGUGAAAUAAGUCGUAACAAAGUAGGCUUACUGGAAAGUGAGCCUAGAAAGAA